AGCAGUGUGGCUUAAGGUAAGAGCACAGGCCUAGGAGUCAGAGGACCUGGGUUUUAAUCCCAGCGCCGCCA
rnacentral:tRNA from 1 species